UACGGCAAGUGAUGAAAUUGUUUUAUGCUACACUGAUAAGCCGUGUAGACAACAAACUCCGCUUAUUAUCUGAUGCCAUC
rfam:Citrus sinensis cultivar Ridge Pineapple sweet orange scaffold00002_contig_414, whole genome shotgun sequence.